ACACACACAUAUAUAUAUUUUGAAAAUGAAUAAUAUGUGAAGAAGGAUGGAUGGGGAGCCAGGGGAGGGCAGGGCAGGAACAUGAUGGAUGGUAUAUUUUGAAAGCAAGAAAUAAAUGGAGGUCCUACUUUGCAUUAUUUAGUGAUGUGCUACUAUAAUAAGCUAAUACAAAGGACAAAGAAUGGCUUUUGUACCCAAGAGGAAUGGAAUGGCGGGGGAAUCCAUUCCACACCUAUUCAUUAGCUUACUCAAUACAAACUACUACAUCUGUGUACUAGUAAUAAAUACUACCGUUGAUUCCCUUGCGAUAGCUCAAAAUACACAAUAAUUAAUAACUAUCCUGCGUAUGCAUCCCCAUUGACAUAAGAAGAAUUUUUUUUUGUUUUGUUUUGUUUUGUUUUGUUGUUGGGUCAAAUAUUGACAUAAGAAAUGGUAAACACCUAUCCAUGCGUUCCACUUUCAUAUAUACCAUUUUUUUUUUCUAACAUAUGUAUAUAUAUAUAUAUUUAAAAUAAUAAUUAAAAAAAAAACACAACCAUUUUUCAAUCUGUCAGCUAAACUACUUUCGGGGAAAAAUAGCUGUAGCAAUAGUUUUCCCCACAGGUCAACUUAUGAUUAAAUCGUCAGCUAAAGAUGAUGCUGAAGUAGGUCUUGCCUGUCAUCAAAAUUUUUUUUUUUAAUCUUUCCUAAGAGUUCCCUUUUUUUUUUUUUUUCCAAUAAAGAUAGAUUCUUAAAUACUAGUAGUAGUAGUAUAAAAUGAGAGUUGGCUUCUGCAAAUAACGAGACGAGCUCUCAACCCAAAUAAACUGACAGCACCAACGGAACUACAAUACACUACACAACGAUCGAAUGGCCCUCCUAAACAGUAUACAACACAGAUGAGGGGUGCUGCAUGCAUCUCAUUCAUAAAAAUGAUACUCAAAAGAGUGGGGUCGGAUCCGGAGCCGGACCCCCACUGCCCCAUGAUGGAAUUGGACUACUACUAUACCCUAUUUGUCCCUGCUUGUCACCAUGUUUGGAACUCUAAACCUAACGAUAACAAAAGAAAAAGGAAAAAAAAUUUUUGAAAGUAAGUAAAAUCCUAUAAUCACUCGACUAAUGAGCAAAUAAUACCCUAAUAAUACCAGUUUGACUCAUCAUUCUUCUUCCUAUAGUAUAGAUAUAGAUAGAUUGAGCAGAUUAGCUAGGUACCCUAUUGCUUUUUCUCUUCAGUGACAUUUUGAGUUACCGAGCGAUGCACAUCGCAGACUGACCAACAUCAACUCGAAUACGCCUAUAGCCCAAGAUGUUCCAUUUUUGUUUUCGGUCGCUCAAAUUUGAAGAAAGAUUGUACCAUCCAGGGCUCUGACAGUCCGCUGCUACACAGACAAUCUCAUUCACCACCCUCAUAAGAAAGCUACGUUCCAUUUUUUACCUUCUAGCUACUCCCAGACUCUAUUCAAAAACUCCAGAGACCGAUGUGCUGGACCCCCGCCCCGCAUUGGAAAAGGAGGGGGGGGGGGGGUAUUACAGAAGGGAAAGGUGCUUGAACCCAAAACGGCAAAACCAUUUCAGCUAAUCACGAAUUACAUUAAAAAAGAAAAAUAAAUGCCUAGGCUUUCCCUAAUUUAUUUCCUGAAGGGAAAUAGGCUAGAGGUCCACUUUAAAUACGCACCCAGAAAAUCAACAUAGGACAAACUAGUUCGCUUUAUGAAACAUCUCCCCAGACGAGUAAUCACCAAAAUCUGAAUCUUCAUCCCGGUUACAAAUUUCAUCGACUCAAAAUCAAUGUCAGUAACAUGAUGCUUACUAGUUGUUUAAAAGGGGGAGAAGAAAUGCAUGAUUGAGCACAGCCUUAGAUUACAAAUAAGCUGCUUAAAUUGAGCCAGAUCCAAGGCCAGCUUGAAACACAAAUGGCUUAGAAAUCAAAAGCACUCUCUGUUACCAAUCAGUAAACACUCCUGUGCCAAUAAACAUUAUCAGUAUGAAGAAAGCUUAAUUGGCAUUUUCCUUUCUUGAAGAAAGGAAAUGGAAUCUCAGAGACGUAAAGACAAUCUCAACACCAAUCACGUUAUCUAAACAACAUCAAACCCUUCAAAGAAACCCAAGAAUCAUAAAAAGCACUGAGUACAAGUGUGUACAAGAAGUUUGCAAAAUGAGAAUUAGACAGAUGGCACAUUGCACAGACAAAAAAAAAAACAGUGAGGUGAAACAGCAAUAUUGAACAUAAAGCAUGAGAUGAGAAACAUGCACUGACAUUUCGUGGAUGAUACUUAUUUAUUCAACAUAAGCAAUAUACUAAUCUCUAAUGUUCAAUAACAUCUUGAGAGAUGCAAUUCUGCAGUGGACCUAGCUAGCCCAGGUAGCCACUCUAGUGCAUCAACCAAAUCAUGAAUUGGGUCCCCAUGUGAAUAUUCAUUGAUCCCUGUAUAAAGCAUGGUUUACAUAUGCACUUACAGUACCAGAAACUGAAGACAAACAAUUUCAAAUCCUCAGCCAGAAUCUCAAAAUCUACCUUACUGGACAAAAGUUUUGCCGUUCUGUAACAACAUCAUGGUCAGUCAUUUUCCGAAUAACCACUGUCUUAUUGAUAAACGUUUAUACCAUCGACAACAUACACACAGAGCAGAGCAUCUUGUCUCAAGAGAGCAGGAAACUGACAAAAAAAAAGAUGCUAAUUCUUGGGGCAUAAUUCAACUUCAGGACCACAAAACAUGUAAAAAUAGAAGCACUCCUCAACACAGGAUCGGUUAUGGUUCCAUAUUGCCAGAAAUGCAGGCAUCAGUCAAUGCGAGCUCUAGAACUUGCCAACUGAGAUAUCUAAAUGUCAUUUGAGGGCUACCAAGAGAGUGUGUAAACUUUUUUUUAGCCAAUUAAACCACUUUCAUGAAUGAUGCACGAAGAAUGGGGUGACAAUACAAGCAUUAAGGAUGUGGGUACAAUGACUAUGCACCCUUAAUACGGUUAAGUUGCCAACACUCCACCUUCUUACUAACUAGAGAGAGAGAGCGUAAAAUCAUCAACAUGAGUAAUACCUAAUAAUUAUUCAAACGAAUAACCCACCAAUAAAAUAGGCAAUAGGAAUUCAGCCCACGAGCCAAACGAGCAUGAUGACAAUUUUCAGGAAAUGAUAAUUCUAAAACAGGGAGUAGUAUUUAUCAGAAUACAAGAGUUUCAGGGAAAUUAAAAAACCAAAACUGAGUACUGCAAAGCAAACAAAAUCAUUCACGAGCAGAGCCGAGCAGAGCAGGGAAAUGCUUUAAAUAACUUCUAGAUAGAUAACAAUUCUGCUCAAGUCCUAUCAAAAUAAGCAACGAUGUAUAAAGAAAGACAAGGGGGAGAUCCUCUCCUCCUCAGAACCUAAGCUUGGUAAAGAACCAGCGGUUUUUACCGGUCUUGAACCUCUCCUCGAAGCGGGUCUUCGCCUCCUUGGCAGCGGUGACCUUCUUGUCGCGGGACUGGAGGCAGUCGCCGGUGACAAUGUCCUUGAGAUCGACGUCCAGGGUGUAGCGGGUAGGCAUGAUGUGGUUGUAGUUGACGAGCUUGAUGAAGCACUUGACCCUGGACUUCUUGGCCUGCUUCUUGGCGGAGUCCUUCCGGAUGACCUUCUUGGGGUACUUGGAGAUUCCGGCGACCAGGCAGUGGCCGUAGGGGCGGUCCCGGGUUCCGUCGUCGAACGACCUCACGAUCACUCCCUUGCGGCCAGCGUAACGGCCUUGGAGCAUUAUCACGGCCUUGUUUUGCUUCAGGAACUUCACCAUCUUAUAUCUCGCUUCCGAGCUCCGCCGCUCUCGCUUUCUUCCCUUCUCUCUGCUUCUGUUUUUUUCUUUUUGGAGUUAAGUCUCUUCUCCCAGCGAGGGUUAAAACCCUAGCAACGCGAGCUUUAUAUCGGUGUGGAGGCAGUGGAAAAUGGGUCGUCUGUUUGAAACCCUAAUAAGCUCGUAUUGACUAAUGGGCCUUUGGGGCUGGGUCGUUUUUUCACUUCAUGGGUCUCCUGACUUCAAGGCCUUAACGAAAUGUGUUUAGGGGCACUUGUGCAUCUGUGUAAUUUUUUUGGGAGGGGACGCGAAUUUGAUGAUGAAAUUUUUCGGUGAAUUGGUAUAAUCACCAAAUGAGCUGUUUGUUUGUCGCGAUCAAAGUUUUUUUUCUUUGAAAUUUAUGCAUAUCUUGUUUAUUAUGGUGAUGGGUUAGUUUUUGAGCCCAAAGUUUGGCAAUCCACCCCUCAACGAGCUUUGGUUUGACUUGUGCCAAUUUGAAACUUUAGCCUAGGGGUAUAAUUGAGUCGAAUCACUACUUGAGUCUGAUUCAAGCUAAAAAAUUUAGACUCGAAUUUGAGUUCAAACUCGAACUCUUGGAAGUUAAGUUCCAGUUCGAACUCGAUUUUAUUUUGUAUUACUUGAGCUCGUGCUCGUGCUUAUCAAGCCUAAUUGAGUUUAUUUCGAGUUUAAUCGAACAUAAUCGGAGCUAAUCAAGUUUAAAAAAUAUAAAUUUAUAUUUUAUACAAUUUUAAACAAGGAAUAAAUUAGACAUUUCAUACUAAUAAAUAAAAAAAAUUAAAACAAAAACAUAUAUAUGUGAAACUCGAUUGAGUUGACGGGCUUUUGAGUCGAGUUCCAUAUAUCAAACUUGAUCUCGACUUGUCAAGUAGUUAGAGUUGUUCGAAUUUGAACUCGGUCAAUACGAGUUUGAAUUCAAGUUUUAUUAUUCAAACUCGAACUCGAUCAAUACGAAUUCGAACACAAGUUUUAACUGAGCUCAAACUUGAUUAGAGUUACAAAUGAAUCGAGCCAGUCGUGAGCAACUUGAAUCCAAGUUCAACUCAAACUCAAUCAACAUCAAACUCGAGUCAAGUCGAAUUUGAGCUCGAAGAUAAUCAACUUGUUAGCUCACGAGCCGGUUCGAUUUUAUACAUAUAUAUAUUAUUUUUAAUUUUAAUAAUAAAAUUACAUAUAUAUUUCUAAUAUUUUAUUAUUUGUUAAAAAAAUUAUUAUUUUAUUCAUUUUUUAAAAAAUAAUAAUAAUAAUAAUAAUUUUUUAAGCUCAAGCUCGACCUUGAGCUUUACAGUUUGAGAUCAUCGAGUUCGAAUUCGAACUCAAGUUUCAUAAAAUUAAGUUGAGACUCGGAUCGAUUAGGUCAAAACUCGACUCGUUUGCACUUCUAAACUGAAAUUCGGCUCGUUUUAACUAAGCAAACUUGCGAGUUAUUUGAUUGAAUUUGACUUGAUUGAAUUUGACUCGCUUGCACCACAAGUUCGAACACAAGUUUUAACUAAGCAAACUCGCGAGUUAUUUGAUUGAAUUCAACUCGUUUGCACUCUUAUUUCAAUUUGAUUGAAUUCAACUCGUUUGCACUCUUAUUUCAGGUAGGUGACGUGUUUCAGGUACGUGCCGUGCUACAGUCCUUUCAAUGGUCACGUCAUGAGAAAAAUUCAUCCAAGUUCCAAACAAGAAAGAAUCAUCUAAAGAUUAGAGGUUUUCUUAAAUUUUUGGCAUUGCCAGAAGGUGGUUGGAAAUUUUUAUAAAAAUCUGGACCAAUAUUCCCAAACUUCAAGCGGGACACAUUGCGACUUUUUUCAUUUAUUUAUACUCCAAAAACGUACAGCAACUUUGUUAGAAUUUAUCCAUCGGUAAAGCACAUGUUUUGCCCUCUCGUCUUCUUUAAACUUUGCCCAUUUUGCAAAUCAAACAGAAUUAAAAUUCAUUCAAAAUGGUGUCAUUGUAAGUUUCAUUCAUCAUCAUCAUCAAUCAUCCAAGACCACUUGCUCGCGCUACACUCUAAUAUGUAACUGGUCCAUCAUUCGUUAUGUAGACUGUGUUGAUGAUAUUCAACGCCAAUACUUAUAUGAGUCUCUGUAUCUCGACUAGAGCAGAUCUUUAGAAAAAGGAAAGGAAGAGGGCCCGAAUGAGAAGCGAGAACAAUCAACAAUAUAAUGUAUAGACAGCUGAUGAACUAGGAAAUAUAUAUGAUUAUUGACGACGAGAAAAGUAAGACUUACAUAGGCAACUGCAUGUCCAUGCAACAACACAUCCGAAGAUGGAUUUCAAACCUAAGAUUUAACUUAAACCAAAACCAUUCCUUCCUAUUAAAGCAGUACUAGUAUAAGCUUAUAAGCCAGCUUAGUCUGUCAGACCUCUAACUAUUAGUAUUUUACAUGCACACACACACACACACACACAUAUAUAUACCCGUGCUAUGUUACUACAAAGUCAUCAGAGACUCAAAAGCACCACCACUACUGAAUACUGAUGGAUGGAUAUAUGAUAUAUCAAUCCUCAUCCGGUGGUUCUGAACUUGGACUCGUCAAUGGGGGUUCCUCCUUCCGCCGCACGCUCUCCCCCGGACUUGUCAGUGGCGCUCAGCCCACCCUUCUUCCCCAUCUCCUGGUACCCUUCUGUCCCUAACUGCUCCCUCCUCGCUUGUCCUCCUCGGCUCCUCCCUAUUCCAAAGUUCAUGUGUAUAUAUAUAUAUAUCAAACACAGCACAACGUGAUCGAAGAAGAAAUACAAAAAAGGAAACACAAACUGAACUGAACUAGCGUGUGUGUGUGCGUGUGUGCGCACUUAAUUAAUGGUGCUGGCACAGGGAUAGGCACGUACCUUCUGCAAGGUGCUCUUGAGCCUCUAGACUUUUGCCUCCGGUACCACCGGGGACUACAACCUCUCCUUCCCUAGCCUUCCUGUCCAGCUCAGCUCUGCCUUGCUCCGAAGACAUGAUUCUAUAUAUUAUCUCCCAAUCAGCUAAUUUCUCUGUCUCUCCU
rnacentral:lncRNA from 1 species